rnacentral:rRNA from 1 species
CGGUGGUGGAUUAGUGGCGAACGGGUGAGUAACACGUGGGCAAUCUGCCCUUCACUCUGGGACAAGCCCUGGAAACGGGGUCUAAUACCGGAUAACACUCUGUCCCGCAUGGGACGGGGUUGAAAGCUCCGGCGGUGAAGGAUGAGCCCGCGGCCUAUCAGCUUGUUGGUGGGGUAAUGGCCUACCAAGGCGACGACGGGUAGCCGGCCUGAGAGGGCGACCGGCCACACUGGGACUGAGACACGGCCCAGACUCCUACGGGAGGCAGCAGUGGGGAAUAUUGCACAAUGGGCGAAAGCCUGAUGCAGCGACGCCGCGUGAGGGAUGACGGCCUUCGGGUUGUAAACCUCUUUCAGCAGGGAAGAAGCGAAAGUGACGGUACCUGCAGAAGAAGCGCCGGCUAACUACGUGCCAGCAGCCGCGGUAAUACGUAGGGCGCAAGCGUUGUCCGGAAUUAUUGGGCGUAAAGAGCUCGUAGGCGGCUUGUCACGUCGGAUGUGAAAGCCCGGGGCUUAACCCCGGGUCUGCAUUCGAUACGGGCUAGCUAGAGUGUGGUAGGGGAGAUCGGAAUUCCUGGUGUAGCGGUGAAAUGCGCAGAUAUCAGGAGGAACACCGGUGGCGAAGGCGGAUCUCUGGGCCAUUACUGACGCUGAGGAGCGAAAGCGUGGGGAGCGAACAGGA